rnacentral:rRNA from 1 species
ACAUAACUGAUGCCUCCGCGUAUCGACUUUGUGCGCAUUUUAGCUAUUAUGUGUUCUUUUAAUUAAAAUGAUUCUUUUUAAGAUUCAUCUAUUAAAAAUUUGCUUCGGCAUAAUUUUUUUUGAUGAUCUUGUUACUUUGAGUAAAUUAGAGUGUUCAAAGCAAACAGAUAUAGCAUUUGUGCGUUUGAAUACUACAGCAUGGAAUAACAAAAUUGAACAAGUCAGAAUUUUUUUGUUCUUUUUUCUUAUUUUGGCUUAGUUACGAUUAAUAGGAGUAGCUUGGGGGCAUUUGUAUUCAGAUGUCAGAGGUGAAAUUCUUAGAUUUUCUGGAGACAAACAACUGCGAAAGCAUUUGCCUAAAAUACUUCCAUUAAUCAAGAACGAAAGUUAAGGGAGUGAAGACGAUCAGAUACCGUCGUAAUCUUAACCAUAAACUAUGCCGACUAGGCUUUGGAUGAAAGAUUUUAAAAUAAGAGUUUUUCUUUUCUCUCCGGAGAUUAGAACUCUUAGAUUGCUUCCUUCAGUGCCUUAUGAGAAAUCAAAGUCUUUGGGUUCUGGGGCGAGUAUUCGCGCAAGCGAGAAAGUUAAAAGAAUUGACGGAAGGGCACCACCAGGCGUGGAGCUUGCGGCUUAAUUUGACUCAACACGGGAAAACUCACUAGUUUAAGACAAGAGUAGGAUUGACAGAUUAACAGCUCUUUCUUGAUUUCUUGGAUGGUGAUGCAUGGCCGUUUUUAGUUCGUGAAUAUGAUUUGUCUGGUUAAUUCCGAUAACGAACGAGAUCUUAACCUGCUAACUAGCGGCAAAUACGAUAUAUUCUUAUGUAGAAUUGAAUAUAGUGGAUUUGUUAGAUUUUGAAGAAAAUAUUGGAAUUACGUUAAAUGUGAUUCCUUUCCCUUUUCUACUUAAUUUACAUUUCCAUCUAUUUCUUUUUUUGCGUAUGGAUGUAUUUGCUUGAUUGUAAAGCUUCUUAGAGGAACGAUGUGUG